GGAGGAAAAGAAACCAACAGGGAUUGCCGUAGUAACGGCGAGUGAAGCGGCAACAGCUCAAAUUUGAAAUCUGGCUUCGGCCCGAGUUGUAAUUUGCAGAGGAAGCUUUAGGCGCGGCACCUUCUUAGUCCCCUGGAACGGGUCGCCAUAGAGGGUGAGAGCCCCGUAUAUUUGGAUGCCUAUGCCUGUGUAAAGCUCCUUCGUUGAGUCGAGUAGUUUGGGAAUGCUGCUCAAAAUGGGAGGUAAAUUUCUUCUAAAGCUAAAUACCGGCCAGAGACCGAUAGCGCACAAGUAGAGUGAUCGAAAGAUGAAAAGCACUUUGAAAAGAGGGUUAAAUAGCACGUGAAAUUGUUGAAAGGGAAGCGCUUGUGACCAGACUUGCGCCGGGCGGAUCAUCCGGUGUUCUCACCGGUGCACUCCGCCCGGCUCAGGCCAGCAUCGGUUCUCGCGGGGGGAUAAAGGUCCUGGGAACGUAGCUCCUCCGGGAGUGUUAUAGCCCGGGGCGUAAUGCCCUCGCGGGGACCGAGGUUCGCGCAUCUGCAAGGAUGCUGGCGUAAUGGUCAUCAGCGACCCGUCUUGAAACACGGACCAAGGAGUCAAGGUUUUGCGCGAGUGUUUGGGUGUAAAACCCGCACGCGUAAUGAAAGUGAACGUAGGUGAGAGCUUCGGCGCAUCAUCGACCGAUCCUGAUGUUUUCGGAUGGAUUUGAGUAGGAGCGUUAAGCCUUGGACCCGAAAGAUGGUGAACUAUGCUUGGAUAGGGUGAAGCCAGAGGAAACUCUGGUGGAGGCUCGCAGCGGUUCUGACGUGCAAAUCGAUCGUCAAAUCUGAGCAUGGGGGCGAAAGACUAAUCGAACCAUCUAGUAGCUGGUUACCGCCGAAGUUUCCCUCAGGAUAGCAGUGUUGUCUUCAGUUUUAUGAGGUAAAGCGAAUGAUUAGGGACUCGGGGGCGCUUUUUAGCCUUCAUCCAUUCUCAAACUUUAAAUAUGUAAGAAGCCCUUGUUACUUAAUUGAACGUGGGCAUUCGAAUGUACCAACACUAGUGGGCCAUUUUUGGUAAGCAGAACUGGCGAUGCGGGAUGAACCGAACGCGGGGUUAAGGUGCCGGAGUGGACGCUCAUCAGACACCACAAAAGGCGUUAGUACAUCUUGACAGCAGGACGGUGGCCAUGGAAGUCGGAAUCCGCUAAGGACUGUGUAACAACUCACCUGCCGAAUGUACUAGCCCUGAAAAUGGAUGGCGCUCAAGCGUCCCACCCAUACCCCGCCCUCAGGGUAGAAACGAUGCCCUGAGGAGUAGGCGGCCGUGGAGGUCAGUGACGAAGCCUAGGGCGGAGCCCGGCUCAAA
rnacentral:rRNA from 1 species